GGAGUCUGGACCGUGUCUCAGUUCCAAUGUGGGGGACCUUCCUCUCAGAACCCCUAACCAUCGUCGGCACGGUGGGCCGUUACCCCGCCGUCUACCUAAUGGUACGCGAGCCAAUCCGUAUGCAAUGAAUCUUUCAAUAAACUCCCAUGCGAGAAUCUAUAUUACGGGGUAUUACGCGACGUUUCCAUCGCUUAUCCCCCUGCCACGGGCAUGUUGCUCACGCGUUACGCACCCUUCCGCCGGUCGCCAUCAAAGGAAGCAAGCUUCCUUCAUGCUGCCCCUCGACUUGCAUGUGUUAAGCCUGUAGCUAGCGUUCAUC
rnacentral:rRNA from 1 species